UGAUCCUGCAAAAAAAGUGCUAUCCACUGUGGAUGAAGCCACCAGUUUAAGGAAAACUGCUGCCUAGCUUUCUUUGCAGAGCUGCUGAAAGAAAAUGGCAGGAGUUUUAUCCUGGUGUUAAAGACUCCGAAUGUGAUUGGGCUUUUAACGCACGCGUGGCAGAUGUGGAGUAGAGCUGUAUGACUGAGUACAGCUUGUGUGCAGGCAAAACUGCUUCCAAAAACUCUGGAGACGGUGCCAUCGCUCAUGCUGCAAGGAGCCGGAAGAGAGGCCUCUGGGCCCUGGGGCAACGCGUGGGGCUCGCUAUGGAGGGUGAGUCACCUACUGCAAAAGGUGCAGGUAGGGCUUUGUUAGCAUGUUCAGUUAAUGUUUUACUGUGUUUGGCAGUGAGGAAGCACCCUGCCAUGACCCAACUGUAAAAUGUGUCUGCAGGCAAUGUCCCUAGGGUAUUCUUCAGAAGGGACACGGUGUUAAAGAAACCCAAACCUGUUUGUCUGAGCCUUGGCAAGGUGGGAGUUGUCAUUACCUUCAGGAGAGUGCUCACAGAGGCACACAGACUGUUUGCUAACAGGAUGCAGAGCCUUCUUUCUCCAGGCCUACAAACCUUCUUCAGUCUACUGAAUAUGGUCUGGAUCUCUUUUCUGGCCAAUACCUCACAA